AAGACAUAUGGUUUGAAGAUGUUUUCUCCUGGUCUGUGACAUAUCUUUCCCGUUUCUUAAUGUUGUCUUUUGAACUGUGAAUGUUUUUAAUAUUAAUGAGGUCCGGUUUAUUAUUUUUUUCUUCAUGGAUUAUGCUUUUAGUGUUGUGUCUCUCUCCCUAACCCAGGGUCAUAAAUGAUUUUCACCGAUGUUUUAUUCCAGAAGUUUUAUAGUUUUAGCUCCUACAUAUGGGUCUAUGAGCCAUGUUGAAUUAUUGUAUAAAGUGUGAGGUAAAGAUCGAAGUAUAUGUGGAUUUCCAGUGGUCUCAGUACCAUGUGUUUAAAAGACUAUGCUUUCCCCAACUGAAUUGCCUUGGUACCUGUGUCAAAAAUCAAUUGACCAUAUAUGUAAGUACUCUAAGUUUUGAAAUCAGGAAGAAAUCAUCCUCCAACUUGGUUCUUUUUCAAAUUGUUUUGGCUAUUCUGGGUCCUUUGCUUUUCUGUAUAAAUUUUAGGACCAGCUUGUUAGUUUCUGCCAAAAAAACAAAAAACAAAAAAACCUGUUAGGAUUCUGAUAGGUAUUGUUUUGAAUCUGUAGAUCAAUUCAGGAACCUUAACAAUGUUGAGUCUCCCAUAAGCAUUGCAUGUCUCUCCAUUUAUUUUGAUCUUUAAUUUCUCUUAGCAUGGUUUUGUAGUUUUAGUCUUGCACAUCCUUUGUUAAAGUUAUUCCUAAGUGUUUUAUUUUUCUUCCUCUUGUAAAUAGAAUUGUUCUCUUCAGAGCUGAUGUACUUCAACAUCCCCUGUACUGUUGCGGGGAGAAGAAGGCUCAAGGUUGACUUGCACGGCUCCCAGCUUGAGUGGGUAGGGUGGAUAGUGGGCCACCAUCCGAUGAAAAGGACUCAGGAGAAAGGGGCAGAUUAGAUUUGGUGAGGAAGUGGCUUCUGUUUUGAUGUGUAGGAUAUGAGGAAUAGGGGACUGACGGGUCAUGCUGUCUGACAGUUCCAGAGAGAUUUGUUUGUAAUAGAGAAAAAUUGGAAAUAACCAGAAUGUCUGUCAGUCGAGGAUAGGUGAAAUUACAGUAUAACCGUAUAAAAGAAUGUUAAUACUGUUCACCCAUUAAAACUACAGAGCCAUGCUGAUACGGACUGACCUGGAAAGAUGUCUGGUUGAUUGCUAAGUGAACCAAGCUACAAACAGCAUUCACUUAGCCAUUGGCUUUCCGGCUCCCACCUUCGCCUCAGGCCCACCUUGAAGCUGACUCAGCAUCAUGGUGCUGAAGUUCAUGGGUUGUGUGGGGACAGGGUGGCUCAUUAUAGAUUUGGGGAUGGGGGCUGUCAAGGAGGACCAGGGAAGUUGUACGCACACGAGGCUUCGAAGCCUGAAGGACAGACAGUGAAGAAGGUUUUAGAACCGAUGGGCAGGCCCCUGGGAUGCAAGAAGGAGCCACGCUGAAGUGAGACAGGGAGCUGAGGAGGGGGAAGGACCCCUGACGGGGUGGGGGGGCCCCGGUCGGCGGGAAUCAGAGGUGAGAGCGAGGCGGAGCGUGGACCUCCCACUUGGGUCACCUACUAAAGGCCCCGACCGAGGGGGCCUGGCAGGCCUUGGGGUGGAGCUCAGCAAGUGCCGACCGCGGUGGAGAGGCCUGCAGCCUGCCGCUCCCUCCCUGCAAACAGCCCGCUCCUUCCCUUGCUGGUCCUCCAGUGGGGGAUGGGGGGACAGGGAAAUCAGAGCAGUCCCUGGGGCUCCCCUGGGAGGCAGCAGGUGGUCCCAGCCGGGAGCCCUGAGCCCAGGACACCAAGUGGAAGCCACACCCUGAUUGAGGCUGGUGCGACCUGGGAUGAAGGGGCACUUUGUCAUUUUCCCAGGGAAGCUGAAGAUCAAAGUGUUGCCCUGUGAGUGAAAGAAAGGCAAUAAUAGUUGUUUCUGAAAGGCAGGCCUCUCAGAAGUGUGAAGACCUGGAGAGACAGGGAGUCAGCUCGCCCACCGCCAGUCUCCUGCUGAGCACGUGGAUGUGGACUUGAUGUUGGACUUGGUCUGUUUAAACGUCUGUGUGGGAAGCCCGUCUCCUCCCUGCCUGUCCCCCCAGAAACAAUGGUGGGUGUUUAUGAUUCCAGAAAGCGGUGGGGAGGUUGUAAACCUGGACUUGGCUCAUCUUUUUAAAAUCUCUGGAUGUCCCAUUAGCCUGGGAUAGUCUAUUUUGGAUUUCAUGGCUCAGUAAAAUAUUCUCCAAAAUUUGUGGCACUGUUACAGAAAUGUCCAUUUGUAUUUUGUCAAAUAUAUUUAUUAAGAGAAAAAUACCUUAAAGAAUGUUGCUAACACAAAAAAAGGAAGUAAGAGCAUAAACUGAGAAAAACGGACAGUCUUUUAAACUGAAUAUAGUUGGCUUUUUAAAAAUCCACUAUGUUGACCUUUCUUUUAAAAAAAAAUUGUCACAGCAGACUGGUGAAAACUCUGUGACUCUGUGUGGCUCAGCCCUGGUGCACACAUCAGAAUUCAAAGGCCACUGAAUUAGUGUUUGUUUGAACACCAGAUGAUAUGAUUAGAUUGUGUGGUUUGUAGGAAAUUAAAUCUUUACCUAAACCGGAUGCUAAGCUUCUGCUCGGAAUCAAUAUACUAAUAGAAGUCCUUGGAAACUAAUAAACAUACCAUUACUAUUAAUUUAUGGAUAGGUUGUUGACAGAUAACCUCAGAGAAGGAAUCCAGGCUUGAAACAGCUUUUGUAAUGCCAGGUGAAGUGUGUGAGUUUAAUCAGAGUCCUGAGAAGGAGUAUCUGUGUAGUGUAUUAAAAAAAACCCGACUGCAUCGGAGUUGGGUCUGAGAGAAGCCAAGAGGAGGCAGGAAAACUAGAAACUAAUUGAAGCUGAUACAAGAAAUUAAGAUCCAUGCAAAGAAAACCAGAUAUUCUAAGAUGAAAUGUGUUGGUGGGAAGCAGGGACAACUUACCAACUUAGAAUCUGGUCACCUGGCAUCUUCUCCUGAGGACAAGAGGCCAGAAGGAACUGGCCCAACUAACUAAGGAAUCUUCCACACACAGGAUGGCAGGGCUGGAAUACUGCCGUUGGGGACCCUCUCAGGACGGGAGGCCACACUCUGGACUCAAGCCAGGCAGUCCCUGAAGUUAUGCCCUUUGCAGGGUAGAAGGUUUACAGAUGAAGAAGCGAGCCCAGAAUUGUCCAGUGUCUUACCCAGGGCCUCACCUUUCCUUGUUGCUGCUCUGUCCCGAAGUGGAUUGAAGAUGCCAGUCCAGAGUUGGAUGCCCUCUGCCGGCAGCUGGACCGCCCUCGGCCUGAGAGAGAAAGGAGGAUGAAGACCAAGUGAUGUGUAAAACCAACCAACCAGCGAACCCUGGCACAGAUACUCAAGAAAUGACACUAUGGGUGAGGAGAGCCCAGCCGGACUGAGGGUUUCCCUGCAUCACUGUGUGGACUGGCCUGUGCAGUGGUGCCCCGAGUCACUCACACAGUGUUUGUGCCCGUAACUGUCCAUCAAAAUAAAGUCACAUUUUGUUCGCUAUGCAUUCAAUUAAAGAACAAAAAUUCUUAGUUGACGUCUUCAUAACGCUUGCUGGAUUAAGGUAAUAACGUUCUACUAACCGCACAAUAUCAAGUUGUAGCUUGAAAACCCAACCUGGAUUCUGUCCUUUUCCUGCUUUAAAAGCCUUCAGUGGCUCGCCACGGCCGCCGCAUUAAAUACCCAUCGUUCAGCCCAGCUUUCACGGCUGUCUGUGACGCGUGCCGUGAACUUGCUUUCAGCAGGGUUUUCCCGUCUGUGCUUUCUGGGGCCCCAGAGUCUCUGGAAAUGACUCAGGCCGCAGUGAGUUCGGAAGUAGCAAAGUUGGGUGUUGGUGUGAAAGUGAGUCGGGCUUUGCUGGCUGAGAGAUCACCAGUGGGGUACAGCUGACCCAGCUUCAUGGGUUGCAGGUUUCAGUAGCUUAAGUCGAUACUCUGAACUCCACAGGCCCUGCCGUGCAGUGGGAAGACCUUCCACGGUGCCGUGAAGGAUGUCACCCACCAGGCUAUGGGCAGAAUUACAAAGCGUGGUUUGCCUUUAUGUCCCCCACACCCUCCCUGUCCAUCCGCUGUUGCUUUGUACCCCACCACCCCAUAUCUUAGAGACUUACCACCUGGUAUAACUUCCCUUGAGAACCCCAGCAUCAUAUGUGUAUUUAAAUACAGAUACCGAAUCUCAGUUACGAGUCACUAUUAAGUGGCCUGGAUUUUUCAUAGACCUUGCUUUUCAUCCAAUUUUAAGUCACACAGAAUUUUUGAGGAAACAGUUUUAAUGGGGAGUUGGACUGUACCAUCUGUUACCCAGGUCACUUGUUCUGAAACUUUAAUUUGCAUAGAAAUCACCUGGGGAUCUUGUUGAAAUGCAGGUUUGAUUCUGUAGGUCUGCAGUUUGCUCUAGGAUUCUCUAAUCCUUAUAAGCUCCCGGGUGACGUUGACUCUGCUAGACUGGGGACCACACUGUGAGUUACAAGGAUCAAGUCCAAGUUCCCUUGAGCAGUCAGGGUUCCUAUGCCCCCUGAUACCCACACCCGAGGGCCAAGCAGUUUCCUGGGCCAGAGGCAGCUGCCCAGCACGAAGCGCACAGUCGUUGCCUUGGAGAGCUUAUGGGCAUAAACGAGAUGGCGGGGUGUGUCCGCCACGUCUCUGCAGACUUCAGUCCUUUCCCAGGUCCAGACCCCUGGGAGGCGCUCAUCUGGCUGCUGGAGAUGGUGUUUCUCCUCUCCAGAAGGCAAUUCAGCAAGUCCUCCAGGGAAAAGGGUAAAUGCUACCUUGGGAGCUUCCUGAGCAGCUUCCAGCGAGUGGAGGGGUUGCCUGCGGGUAUUUCCUCCUUAACACAUCACUUUUCUUCCAGCCACAUAUGCAGACAGACCGGGCCGUUCAGCACGAGUUCUCCCGUGGAUGACACCCACUCUCGUUUACUUCCGGAUAAGAAAAUCGGUAGUUGUGCCCAUUCACAGCCUGACGAGACCUCCUGUCUAACUUUUCUGUCCUCACUGCGCAGUCGUGCUUGGUACCGGCUCAUAGCACUGUUGAUGAAGAUGUGAGUUUUCUCCUUCUACCACUGAACAGUGAGAGAUUAUCAGCUUUGUUCUGCUCCUGGAGUCACAUCGACGCUGCUUCCACACCCAAGUGAGUGAGUGAGCCUGCAGAACCUGCAGGCGCUGGCCGCAGGCCUGGACCGACAGCGCUGCUCGCCUGUGAGGGGAGAAGCCAAGGAAUGGGGCCUAAGGGUGUGCCCAGACAUGCAGUUCAUCCAUCGAUCAGGCGUAUGGUGGGUGCAUGGGAGGCUGAAAAGCAGGGGCGUGGCGUGUUCAAGGUUAGCAACCAAGUGACCAACUAGGCUUCAUAACCAGAUGCAUCAAAAAUAGGAAGCAUGAGCCAGCACUUGGGGUGAGCAGUGAGAAGUCAGGUGUGAGUGAUGGAGAGGAUGGCCGUUAAGGCUAGUCUGGGAGGCCAGGCGUGCUUUGCUGUUCCUGACUAGCUGGGAGAGUCCUGAAGAGGCCAGCGGUGUGUGCUGAGGAAGAGCUCCCCUUGUAACCCACUUAAGAAGUAUGUUAGUUGUGUGUGUGCUGAGUAAUGGAUCACCCCGAACUAAGUGUCUGUUAACAACCAUGAUGGUCUCAGGAGCAGCUGAGGACAUCUCAGAGGCUCUUCACUCCCACGUGUGGCGUCUGAGCUGGAGCAGCUGGAGCUUGCCAUCCUCAGGCAUUUCUGUCUGGGGGAUCUCCACUCAGGGUCUUCCCAGCGUGGCAUCUUCACAGCAGUGACACUUCCCAGGAGGAAGCUAUGCCCCUUAUGUGAGCUCACCUCAGGGGAGGGGCAGCCCUCUGGUCUGCUGCAGUCUGAUUGUCAGAAGUCAGUGCCCACAGUUGGCCCUUUUUCACUGUAGUCUCCACCUAUUUCUGGGAAAUAAAUCCAAGAAUUUGUUGGCAUGUUUUAUAACCACAUAGGAGCCUAUGAUAUAGUCCGGGGACCUCAUAAUUACACCCGCCUAAUUAUAUAAGGGACUUCCAGUGGAAAGUUUCCCGGUGCUUACCGUGCUUGGCAAGUCACGUCAGACACGUGGAGAUGUGAUGUGCAGGCGAGCGGUCCGAUUUUCUGAGACUAAGUCCCGUAUUUGUGUCAUUACCAGGAAACCCCCAGGCCCGGAAACAUCUUUUCCCCCUGGGGCUCAGGAUGGUAACAUCAGAGUAGGUGAUAAAGUGGUUAAUCCCACAGGGAUGCAAAACAGUAUUAGCAAGUCAGGAAACAGCAAGGAGGCUGAGCAGUAGACAAGAAGGAGGCCCUCACAUCGCUGUCCUUCUGAUUCGAUACAGCAACAGACAAUUCCAAAUUCCUCUGAGGGACAGCGGUAUUUGGGACCAACUAGACUAGCCAGCUGCCGCCGUGCCUGGUAAAGCCAGUUGUGGCUCUAGUCCUGGCACACCCAGACUGCUCACGCUGCUGACCCCAGUAUGAAGGCACCUGGGGUUCCAUGUGCGGAAGCAGGACUAGGGAUAAUUGCUUUGUUAGAGGGGAACUGAGAGUCCUAGUGAAUUCAAGUGUACUUCCAAGCAGGGUCUGAAAGCCUCCUGUAAGGACACUGACUGCACCGUGGGGGGUUCGCCUGAUGCCAGCUGAUUGGGAAAAGCCAUUCUGGGCCUAGCUUGAGUGAGCCCGGGGAGGGAUAAGCAGGGACCCUGUACCUGGUACACUGGGGUUCCUGGGAAGACUUGUAGUCUCCUUACACUUGACUGAGUUUGUUCCCUGCACAGACUUUUGCUAAAGGCCACCGUGUCCCAGCGCGUGAGGCAGUUGCCAAAAUGUAGUAGUGCUAACAGCUGGAGUUCCUGUCUGCUGCAGCUGAGCAACUACAGAGGAGCCUGAGUCCCACCAGAAGCAAUUCCUUGGACUGUUCGGCGCUGCCUGGAAAUGGGUCCCGGCACCCCCCCCCCCCCGCAGAGUCGACUGGCUGGCAAAGGCUUGCUGACACUGGGGGACUUUCCACUUCAGGGCCUGGCACUGUGACCGACUUCCCAGCAUCUCAGUCUGGGCAGAUUCCCAUGAGAUCAGACCCCAUACCCACAUCUCUGAUUUUGUGAAGGUGGAGUGUAGUUUGGCAAAAGGUAUUAUGCAAAAAUCAAUAAGUAAAGAAACUUACAAGGGAGAAAAGAGAACAUGAGCAUAAAAUUUGGAAAACGGAACUCAAUAAAAGUAGUUUUUUUACUUCUGUUGAAACAGGAUUUCUCAGAGCCUUUCCUGUGCCACCAUGCCAUGUGAUCGUCCAGAAGGACAGAAUUCGCCAUCUGCUGUGGUAGCUCAUGUUCUGGAUCCUCAGCCGGGACAGCGGAUUCUGGAUUUGUGUGCGGCCCCUGGAGGCGAAACCUUACACGUUGCGGCACUGAUGCAGGAUCAGGACUGCCCUACACUUAGCCUGCAUCAGCAGCCAGUCAUCAGUGGUGGCUCUCCUUAUCCAGUGGAAUUGUAAUCUGGAUGCUUGUGACAAGGAAAGCAAGACAGCUCUCAUCAAGGCUGUACAAUGCCAGAAUGAUGGAUGUGUCAUUAUCUUGCUGGAACAUGGUGCUGACCCAAAUCUUGAGGACGACAGUCAAAACACUGCUCUCCAUUACACCGUCUUGGCUGAGAAUACGUCAAUUGCAACACAGCUGCUCCGCUGUAAUGCAAAUAUCGAGGCGAUAAAUGAGAUAUAUAGC